GGAAUGAUGUAAAUAUAUGUGUUGUACCAGACACGACACAAGAAGUACUGCUGAAGAAGCAAAAGAAAAAAAAACACUCUCAGGCGUAACACAACAGUUUAAUGUUUAUACUGCAGAACAUGUGCACACUCAAUAUCACUUCACUGUCAUAAACACACAGUAAUUGGAUGCAAGAAGUUAGCAAUGGCCUGAAAUGGGGCCAACUGUGGUCAUCCGUUGGUCUGUUGUGCCUUGGGACUGGUGAUACAUAAGCAGAGGAGAGCUGUGCGUUAUUUCCAGUGGUUAAGGUCGCAUCCGGAGAGGAGAGCAGUGCGUUAUUUCCAGUAGUUAAGGUCGCAUCCGUAGAGGAGAGCUGUGCGUUAUUUCCAGUAGUUAAGGUCGCAUCCGGAGAGGAGAGCAGUGCGUUAUUUCCAGUCGUUAAGGUCGCAUCCGGAGAGGAGAGCAGUGCGUUAUUUCCAGUGGUUAAGGUCGCAUCCGGAGAGGAGAGCUGUGCGUUAUUUCCAGUCGUUAAGGUCGCAUCCGUAGAGGAGAGCUGUGCGUUAUUUCCAGUCGUUAAGGUCGCAUCCGUAGAGGAGAGCUGUGCGUUAUUUCAAGUAGUUUAAAAAAUGUCAAGCACAUGCUGGCACAUCCAGGUGAAGUGCUGCCAUUUCUUCUGCUUAAUAAUCACAUACCACUACCAC
ensembl:lncRNA